rnacentral:rRNA from 1 species
AGAACGAACGCUGGCGGCAGGCUUAACACAUGCAAGUCGAACGCGUGUAGCAAUACACGAGUGGCGCACGGGUGAGUAACGCGUGGAUAUCUGCCUUUUGGUUCGGAAUAACCCCGGGAAACUGGGGCUAAUACCGGAUGGUUCCUACGGGAUAAAGAUUUAUCGCCAAAAGAUGAGUCCGCGUACGAUUAGCUAGUUGGUGAGGUAAUGGCUCACCAAGGCGACGAUCGUUAGCUGGUCUGAGAGGACGAUCAGCCACACUGGGACUGAGACACGGCCCAGACUCCUACGGGAGGCAGCAGUGGGGAAUAUUGGACAAUGGGGGCAACCCUGAUCCAGCCAUGCCGCGUGAGUGAUGAAGGCCUUCGGGUUGUAAAGCUCUUUUGGCGGGGACGAUGAUGACGGUACCCGCAGAUAAGCCCGGCUAACUUCGCGCCAGCAGCCGC